rnacentral:lncRNA from 1 species
AUCUUCGUUCCCUGCAGAACCUUGACAGUUGAACAAGUGACCUCCUCCAGAACAGAUGGAGAGUCUCCAGAAGCAGAGGCUUUAGUGAACGAAAUUCGCAAUAAUCAGCUCCAGAUCCUGAAAAGGAGGGCGAAGAAUCAGUGGCCAAAGCUAACCGCUUCAUACCCACACUUCAUCCUCCUCAGUUUCUCUCCAGGCCACCAUGUCUGCAGGCAACGGCACCCCUUGGGAUGCCACCUGGAAUAUCACUGUUCAAUGGCUGGCUGUGGACAUCGCAUGUCGGACACUGAUGUUCCUGAAACUAAUGGCCACGUAUUCUGCAGCUUUCCUGCCUGUGGUCAUUGGAUUGGACCGCCAGGCAGCAGUACUCAACCCGCUUGGAUCCCGUUCAGGUGUAAGGAAACUUCUGGGGGCAGCCUGGGGACUUAGUUUCCUGCUUGCCUUCCCCCAGGGAUCUAGAACUAGAAAUACCAUUUGACCCAGCCAUCCCAUUACUGGGUAUAUACCCAAAGGACUAUAAAUCAUGCUGCUAUAAAGACACAUGCACACAUGUUUAUUGCGGCACUAUUCACAACAGCAAAGACUUGGAACCAACCCAAAUGUCUAAUAAUGAUAGACUGGAUUAAGAAAAUGUGGCACAUAUACACCAUGGAAUACUAUGCAGCCGUAAAAAAUGAUGAGUUCAUGUCCUUUGUAGGGACAUGGAUGAAAUUGGAAAUCAUCAUUCUCAGUAAACUAUUGCAAGGACAAAAAACCAAACACCGCAUGUUCUCACUCAUAGAUGGGAAUUGAACAAUGAGAACACAUGGACACAGGAAGGGGAACAUCACACUCUGGGGACUGUUGGGGGGUGGGGGGAGGGGGGAGGGAUAGCAUUAGGAGAUAUACCUAAUGCUAAAUGACGAGUUAAUGGGUGCAGCACACCAGCAUGGCACAUGUAUACAUAUGUAACUAACCUGCACAUUGUGCACAUGUACCCUAAAACUUAAAGUAUAAUAAUAAUAAUAAUAAUAAAAGAGCCU